rnacentral:rRNA from 1 species
AGUAAAAGUCGUAACAAGGUUUCCGUAGGUGAACCUGCGGAAGGAUCAUUAUUGAAUAAAAUUUGAACAGGCUGUUGCUGUCCCUUCCUUUCGGUUGGGUAUGUGCACGCUUGUCAUCUUUAUUUCUCCCCACUGUGCACAUAUUGUAGACCUGAGAGCUUUUGAAUUCAUUUUCGAGUUGGGACUGCUGCAACGAAACACAAAGUUCAGCUUUGCCUUGCAUUUUUGGGUCUAUGUCAUCUUUACAAACCUCUAGAAUCGUUUGGAAUGUUGAAUGCAAAGGUCAUUUCGUACCUAUAAAGUUAUAUACAACUUUCAGCAACGGAUCUCUUGGCUCUCGCAUCGAUGAAGAACGCAGCGAAAUGCGAUAAGUAAUGUGAAUUGCAGAAUUCAGUGAAUCAUCGAAUCUUUGAACGCAUCUUGCGCUCCCUGGUAUUCCGAGGAGCAUGCCUGUUUGAGUGUCAUUUAAAUUCUCAACCACGAACAACUCUGUUGCAUCGUGGCUUGGAUGUGGGGGGUCAUAUUGCAGGCUUUCGAGUCUGCUCCCCUGAAAUGCAUUAGUAGUAUCUGAGCAGAAACUACAAGGUGUGAUAAUGUAUCUAUUGCCUUGAGUAUACUGCUGCAACCAGAUCACACUGCUUCCAACAAAUUUUUCUUUUGAUAAAUUUGACCUCAAAUCAGGUAGGACUACCCGCUGAACUUAAGC